CAUUGAAGCACCAGUUUCCGUACGAUCACUAGGGUUAAGCAACGUCGAGCCUGGUAAGUACCUAAAUGCGUGACCGCUUGGGAAUACCAGGU